UUAAGCUUAUAUUAAAUAAAUUUGUCACACUUUUAUCUUGUUAAUCUAUAUUUUGUUGUAGGAGUCUCAGCCAUGAACCUAAUGGUGGGCUUGAAAAGUGGAGUACGGCUUCUGCAUUUCUAUACAACAUUAAGUUUCAAAGGACAGAUGAAAGCAGAAGAGCCAUAGAAGAAGGCUCUAGGUGCUCAGUUACUGCUACAUCUUUACCAUCCUGCACGCCUCUUUUACUUAUGGCUAGAUUCCCGCUAACAAAUGUUGGAUAAGAAACACUGUCUGAAUCACAAGAACAGAGAGGUUAGGAGAAAUAGUUUUGCUCACUCCUUCCAUGUGGUGAAACAUCUACUAAUGCAAUACUCCAGUCCUCUCUCUAUCCUUACUCACAUGAAAAUGCAAUGGUUCGAUUUGUAAAGGUAAAUAAACAGAUGUGUUAUUUUGCAUGUAUCUACAUUAUACUUGAUAUUUGAAAUCUGCCGUCAA
rnacentral:lncRNA from 1 species